ensembl:lincRNA Gm14642 predicted gene 14642
GGGAGACACUCCUGGCUACAGAGACAGCGUCACCCUGUUCCCAGGCUUCUCAUGUGCAGAGUGAAGAUGAACACAGCUCUUUAUGCGGCAAAGUUUGCUUAGGAUGCAGGGGGAGGCACUGCUUCUGGGCCGAUCCAGAGAGCUCUAGAUGCCAGACACAGGAGCCAGAAGGCUUUGUUGAUGGGGUUGGUGACACACCUUGCGGUGUAUGCACAUGUAGACACUCAGCACCUGGUGCCCACACGAUGCCCUCUUCAAGCAUCUAGCAAAUACUCUCCAGGAUUAUAUCUACGUGGUGUGAAGAAAGACCUUUAUCUUCCACGUUGCCCCCACCCACACCACAAGAUCACCAGCCACUGCAGGAGCUCCCCUCCCCCACCAGCUGACUGGCUGGCCCCCACCCGGGCCCAUCUGCUCUGCAUGUGUAAGCAUUGUCAAAUUGUUUGAAUAAAUUGUCACUCUGAUUAAAA